ACAUGACAUCAAAUUCUUUGGUCUCACUCCUCAAAAUCAAAGUCUGAUGAGUUAUUUAUGACACUUCGACCUCAUCUAGGAGGAAACAGUGAACAUGGGUUACAUGCUCCACAUGCUCACAUACUAUUACCAUAUCUCAAGAUUCAACAAAUUACUACUUUUGUUUUUUACAAAAAGCAUAGUCCAUUUACUCAGUCUUUGAAAUUUCUAAUUAUUUAAGUCACACAUUCGUUUAAAUUUUAGAUUAAUGUAAUUGACGAUUGUAUUUUCGGAGAUUUAUUUGAAAUCUUAUUAAUUUUAAGAAAUAAUAUAACUAUUAUAUACACUUAUAAAAUUAUUUACCAACAACGAAGAUUUUGACGUCAUGAAGGAGAAUCUUGAAUCCAUAUGGUUUUGGGAUGAGGUCUAGGAAGGAGCUAGCAAUAACAGAUUUUGAAAAAUAUCCUAACAGAAAGAUAUAUUCCCAACAGGAUAUUCUAAGUGACCAAUCCUAUGGUGCCAGCUCAGAAACCCUGCUCCUAGUCUGUUAUGAAAUCUCUCCUUGGCCUUUCUUCCUUCUUUGGUUCUGGUUCUUGCUCUGUGUCCUGCUGUUUUCUGCUCUUAUUACAUAACCCCUCAACUGGGGCAGCGGUUUCCAACAAUUUCUAUUGACUUCUAUAUGUACACUUUGACAGGUUCAAUUAGUUGAAGCAUUGAUCACUUUAAAGUU